rnacentral:rRNA from 1 species
UACGGAGGGUGCUAGCGUUGUUCGGAAUCACUGGGCGUAAAGCGCGUGUAGGCGGCCCAUUAAGUCUGAUGUGAAAGCCCCGGGGCUCACCCCCGGAAGUGCAUUGGAAACUGAUGGGCUGGAGUCCCGGAGAGGAGGGUGGAAUUCCUGGUGUAGCGGUGAAAUGCGUAGAUAUCAGGAGGAACACCGGUGGCGAAGGCAGCCAUCUGGACCGACACUGACGCUGAGGCGCGAAAGCGUGGGGAGCAAACAGG